CCCCCUACAAAUGGUAUCAGAGCGCAGCAAUUUGAAGAAAUACCGAGAUAUUAUAAAUAUAAUUUAAAAUGAAUAAAAUACAACGAUAUAAAGAAUUAAAACAAAUUAUCUCUGAAAAAUGAAAAGAAUUAAAAAUAAGAAUAGAAAGACUACAUUAUAAUAUAUUUGCCGGAGUUAGUAAAAAUUCAAUAGAUACACAAAAAGAUGAAAUAUCAAAAUUAGAAUCACAAAUAGAUAGUUUAGAAUAUGUAUAUCAACAUGACCUAUUCACAAUAAAAUGAAUAAAGAAGAAUUUAUAAUAGAUGAAAAAUAUAUGAAAACUACGAAGGAUCAAAAAUAAAAAUAGUAUUUUCUAAUCUAGGACGAAGAUAUAAGAAAAUAGGUGAACAUUUAUAUCUAAUGUUAGAAAAAGAAGAAUUAAAAUUAGAAGAUAAAUUAACAGCAAUGGUAAGAAUAGA
rnacentral:lncRNA from 1 species